rnacentral:rRNA from 1 species
UGGUGGAGUGAUUUGUCUGGUUAAUUCCGAUAACGAACGAGACUCUGUCCUGCUAACUAGUCUGACCGCUUCUUUGUCGCGAUCAGAUCUCUUCUUAGAGGGACUGGCGGCGUAUAGCCGCACGAGAAUGAGCAAUAACA